rnacentral:rRNA from 1 species
GACGAACGCUGGCGGCGUGCUUAACACAUGCAAGUCGAACGGAAAGGCCCUGCUUUUGUGGGGUGCUCGAGUGGCGAACGGGUGAGUAACACGUGAGUAACCUGCCCUUGACUUUGGGAUAACUUCAGGAAACUGGGGCUAAUACCGGAUAGGAGCUCCUGCUGCAUGGUGGGGGUGGGAAAGUUUCGGCGGUUGGGGAUGGACUCGCGGCUUAUCAGCUUGUUGGUGGGGUAGUGGCUUACCAAGGCUUUGACGGGUAGCCGGCCUGAGAGGGUGACCGGCCACAUUGGGACUGAGAUACGGCCCAGACUCCUACGGGAGGCAGCAGUGGGGAAUAUUGCACAAUGGGCGGAAGCCUGAUGCAGCAACGCCGCGUGCGGGAUGACAGCCUUCGGGUUGUAAACCGCUUUCGCCUGUGACGAAGCGUGAGUGACGGUAAUGGGUAAAGAAGCACCGGCUAACUACGUG